UGCCGCAGCCCAGAAGCCGCCCGGAUGAAAAAAAGACCCCGGCUCGACCCCAGUUGUCCCGAACCUCCCCCGAACCGAUCCUCCAGCUCCCCGCCGCCGCGCCGUGAUGCAACCCCAGGCCCCGGUCGCCGCGCCCCCAGGGCCUCGCCACCGCGCCGCGAUGCCACCUCUGUUGCGACCCUAGGGCCCGGCCGCCGCGCCGCCAGGCCACCUCCGCCGUGCCGCCAGGCCCCAGCCGCCGCACUACCAGGCCACCUCCGCCGCGCCGCCAACCUUCCUUGGCUGCGCUGUCAGGCCCUACGUCGCCGCCGCACUACUCCAGCCAGCGUCCCACCGUGCCACGCUGCUCCAGCCGGCCUUCCACCGCGCUGUGCUUCCCCAGCCCGCCUCGCAAUGCGACGCUGCGCCAAGGCGUUCACGGCCGCUACCCCAGUCCGUUCACCACUGCCAACCAAGGCCGUUCAACGAUGGGUCGGUCAGCAAAAGCAAUGAUUCAGACCUGAGGGAAGAAGACGGAGCUAAAAUGAUUCAGUUCAUCAUUAGCACCCUAUAACCCAAACAGUGAAGAACACACCCCUUGUACUUUUGCUCUUGUUCCUUCUGUCUCCUGAAUUCCACUCUUGAUGAGCAUGCUUGGUACUAGAUAGAUACUGCUGUCGUAGUUCUAAUACAAUAUAUUACAACAAUUCAUUGACAAAAAAUUGUCAAUUCAUAUAUGUAUGCAGCGGCUGUUCUGAUACUACUUCAGUAACCAGAAAAACACAAAAGUUCAACUAUAUUUAUACAAAAUAGUUUAAUAUUUUAUUCUAUGACACUCAAGAAAAACAGAAAUAAAAGAGGUUCAUCAUGUGAUGAACAAUAGUCCCAACAAGUGUGCUAGAGAUGCAAAAAAAUUGAUGGCAUAGUCGAUGCUAUUUUUCAUCCAAUUUCUGAAGAAAACUAAAGUUGAUCAGAGUAACUGAAGAAUAAUCUAUUAGUUCUCGAGUAUGUGUAAUGAUGCCAUUUUACUGUGCAUUUGUUUCCAUUGCGAUGGAUGUAUUCCAAGAUAUGGUUGUAUCAUUGUGUUGAAUAAAAAUACCAUGUUGCUGCAACAUUUUCUGUCAGCUCCUGUCAAGCAAUACAUGUAUGUGAGCAUCCUUCUAUGUAGUAAGUUCAUAGUCGAGAAGUCAGGAACUUCGGAAAAAGAACGUGAACAUAAAAAACCAUAAAAACCUGAACCUUAUCUUAAGGGAGUUCAAGAAGUCCGUGUCUAGCCGUCUGUGGUGUGUAUUCUUAUCAGUUCAUAGUCGAGAAGACAUGUAUUCUUAUCAGUUUAUUUUUCUAGCUGGCAGUUUUGUGUAUUUGGUUAGUUUGUGUGUGUAUAUGUUGCCAUCGUGGUAUACGAGAGACCACCCCACGAGAAAGUCGCCGAUCUGGUCGAGGCAUGCUCCUGUUCUCUGUUUUCAGUUGCACAAACAUUUAAAAGUUCAAACACCAAACCCUGGUAAGUUCUCCUUACAAAAACUCAUCUCUCAUAUUUGUUCCUAUUUUUGUAGGUUCCAGUUAAAACAAGAUGCAUAAGUUCAUCAUUUGUAUGCUUUUUAGUUCAUCUACUUCCCGAUGGUGAGUCUGAUUUCCUUCGUGUUUCCAUUUUCUUCAUAUAGCACAAACAAGUACUUGUGGUUAUGCUUGAGAAUGAGCACCAUACCGUUCACCGCCGCCACACCGGGUCGUUCAACGACACAACCCGAAGUAGUUCGACGUCGCAGCUCGGGAGGCACACACUUCACCCCUCCAUCCCAGGAGAGCAGUACAUCUUGUGCGCGAGCAGUCCGUUGCUGAUGUACACUGCUGCUCUAAGCUCCUUGGCCACUACUCCAGUAUGUCCAGCAUCGUCCCCAGUCCAGCCCCAUGGCAUUCGGACGGUCGAGUUCAUGCCGAGCAGCAGUCCACGCCCAUCAGCUCCUAUUUCCACUAUAGUGGUUGGGUUGCCGUUUUCCUCAUCCUUCUCCGUGCGCGACAACCCAGCCCACAUGUUGCUGCCGUCCGCCACCCCAAAUAGCUUUGGCUGUUCCUCAAGCAACCAUUUGGAGAACCUUUUGGUGUUUUUCUACUGGUGAUUGAUUUUAGCAAUUUGUAGCUAUCUGCGUAUGGAAUCUGAAAGUUCAAGAUUGCUGCAGAUUCAAUUCUUGUAGUACAAAUGUCCCAGAGUUUAGUGACAUCUGUAAUUGAGGUACUAUGGUCUUGCAUCUCCAAUGUAUGUUGCUGAGCAUCCUCCCAAUCCGCUCGAUCAACUUCUUAUUCCACCUCCAAAAAAAAUUCUUUUUGAGUUCUAUCCUUCGUCACAGGUUCACCGCUAUUACCUCAGUGCAAACGUGCCAAAGAGUUUAGUUCAGACUAUACUAAAUGUCCAUAUUAUAGAUAAUAUUUGCAUUGUCUUAAAUUUCUGGAAACAAGCUUCAGUACAAGAAAAAUGGGCCAGUUAGUUCAUCCAUAUCCAAACCCCCGUCGACGUGCGGCGGCAGGAAACAUUUUCAGGUUGUUUUCUUUCUCUCUUUGCUUAGCACAAAAUUGCGCAAAUGCCUAGCAGAAAAAGAACUUGUUCGUAUACAUAGGUAGAUUCACGAAAUAUUGUAGUAGUACUUCGGUGAAAGGAUUCACAUCAGUUCAAACAUUUUUGAAUGUUCAGUAAAAGUUCAAAUAGAGCAGAGGCUUUCACCUCAUUCGAAAAAGCCUAAAAAGCAACAGUACAAUGAUAGAAAAAAAUCAGUUGAAAAAAAUAUGCUGGAGGUUUGUCGGAAUGGCAGAAAAACAUCAGUUCAAUUUUUCUGUACCAUCGCUUCUAUUGCUAAAUGUUUUAGUCACUUGUUUUCUUGAUGCCAUCAGGUAUUUCCUUAAAUACUUCGGUCUUGUGCAGCUGGUACUAGUGUGAAUGGGUAGCAAGUUCAACUACCAAUCCACACCAAGUUCAGACCUCUUUUUGGAAUUGGGCCUGCCCCAUGAUCCGGCGUCGCCCUCCGCUGCCUCAGCACGCAGGCCGUUCACCUUCACCACCCCUGGCCGUUCACCACCACCACCAGCGCCCGUUCAAUGCCGCCCCAACAACCCAGUGCGACUUUGUCUCUCUCAACUUAAAAAGCGGUUCAGCUCAGUGCAUGUCAGACAUUAAAGCAAUAUUCUGUAGUAGCUUCAAAAAAUGCAAAUGGUCAUGUUUCCACAAGACUGACGGAACACUGCCAAUUGAACUGAGCACUAGCGGAACUGUGAAGCACUGACGAAACACUACCAAUUGAAUUGAACGUUGACCACGUCUCCACCCUCCCCACGCCCGCCAAUGCUGCGACCACCCCUCCCCCUCACGAUUUCUCGUUGAUAUCGCUGUAUUCAUGCUUGUUACGUGAGUUGCCUGAUGGAAGUUCUGCAACUGUCAGUCCAGAUGGAAGAAGGAGAUCGGUCCAAAGUGUGAGUUUUGCGACGUCGACGUGCAAGUUCUACAAUUUAUCUGUCCAUAUGGGAGAAGGAGAUCAAUCCAACCGACGCAUCUGAAGCGACAUAUGCAGAGCCAUUCGCCUGAGAGCCAAAUCCUGGCGCGCCCAGCCGCUGCUCGUGAACCCCGCCUCCAUCAGCUCCACUUCACUGGAGCCGUCAGUCCACAGGAAUAGGGGUAGCGGAUCCCCUAUAGCGGCCAAAUCCCGGUGCGCCCAACCGCUGCUUGUGAACCUCGCCUCCAUCAGCUCCACUUCACCAGAGCCGUCAGUCCGCAGGAGUAGGGGUAGCAGGUUCACCCAACGUCCGACGCCUUCUUCCAUCUCCAAAAAUCUUGUUUUUUGAGUUCAGUUCUUCGUCACAUGUUUCACUAGCUGAAAAAUGCAUGGUGUUCUGAAAUUGCUUGCGGACCACUAGCUGAAAUUGCUUGACGAACAAAAGCAAAGUCCUUCUGCAGGGCCCAAACCCGCUGUCGUGCAAGAAAAAGAAAGCAAAGCCCCAACCAUCAGCUGCUCAAUCAUCAGAACUAAUAGUAAGAUGGAGAAGAGAUAAUGCAACAAAAAUCUUAGAUGGGGCAGUGAAGUCCAUUGCGCAUUCUGAUUUUUUGUAGCUCCGGACAUCAGUUGUAUUGAGACAUGGAUGGCUCUACACCUGAAGUACAUAUAUCUGACAAGCAUGAUCACAUGUUCCCUUUAGAGUCUGAUGGUCGAUGGAGAGGCGAAGCGAAAGACGGUUAGGAAGCGCAAGAGAAGUGGCAAAGACAGUAGGUCCAUGUGUAUUUAACAGCAAGUCCAUGUAUUACUACAUGAGAAGUACUGCUAUUCCCUCACUGGAUUUGCAGGCUCACGACCAUCCUCCAACACCCCGUCAGUGCCACUGAUUUGAAGGACCUCGGUGAGCGUGUACUUCUCCUGGGUCCACUAGGUUCCGUCCUGAGAGAAGCAUCGCCGGCUGGGAGAGUUCAAUGAUCUGAACUAGGAAAGUUCAACGUGAAAAUUUGCUACAGAUUGCAUUACUUGAGAAUUUUUUUCUAACUGGGUGCAGAUGAGCCUGGGCACUGAAACGCCCUACUCACUCUUUAUUGACUUCUCUGUAUUUUGUGAAUAAAUGUUUAUAUAAUAAAUGUUCACAUAGUAUACUCCCA